AUUGAACGCUGGCGGCAUGCCUUACACAUGCAAGUCGAACGGUAACAGGUCUUCGGAUGCUGACGAGUGGCGAACGGGUGAGUAAUACAUCGGAACGUGCCCAGUCGUGGGGGAUAACUACGCGAAAGCGUAGCUAAUACCGCAUACGAUCUAAGGAUGAAAGCGGGGGAUCGCAAGACCUCGCGCGAUUGGAGCGGCCGAUGGCAGAUUAGGUAGUUGGUGGGGUAAAGGCUUACCAAGCCUACGAUCUGUAGCUGGUCUGAGAGGACGACCAGCGACACUGGAACUGGGACACGGUCCAGACUCCUAAGGGAGGCAGCAGUGGGGAAUUUUGGACAAUGGGCGCAAGCCUGAUCCAGCAACGCCGCGUGCAGGAUGAAGGCCUUCGGGUUGUAAACUGCUUUUGUACGGAACGAAACGGCGUCUUCUAAUAAAGGAUGCUAAUGACGGUACCGUAAGAAUAAGCACCGGCUAACUACGUGCCAGCCGCCGCCGUAA
rnacentral:rRNA from 1 species